rnacentral:rRNA from 1 species
UGGGGAAUAUUGCACAAUGGGCGCAAGCCUGAUGCAGCCAUGCCGCGUGUAUGAAGAAGGCCUUCGGGUUGUAAAGUACUUUCAGCGGGGAGGAAGGUGUUGAGGUUAAUAACCUCAGCAAUUGACGUUACCCGCAGAAGAAGCACCGGCUAACUCCGUGCCAGCAGCCGCGGUAAUACGGAGGGUGCAAGCGUUAAUCGGAAUUACUGGGCGUAAAGCGCACGCAGGCGGUCUGUCAAGUCGGAUGUGAAAUCCCGGGCUCAACCUGGGAACUGCAUUCGAAACUGGCAGGCUAGAGUCUUGUAGAGGGGGGUAGAAUUCCAGGUGUAGCGGUGAAAUGCGUAGAGAUCUGGAGGAAUACCGGUGGCGAAGGCGGCCCCCUGGACAAAGACUGACGCUCAGGUGCGAAAGCGUGGGGAGCAAACA